CGCCGACGCGGCCGGCGAGGAUCCGGCCGCCGUUCGCGUCCGCGAGCGUGUAGGUGCCGUUCGGCCCCGCGGUCAGCGUC
rnacentral:tRNA from 1 species